AGUCUGACCGAGCACGCCGCGUGAGUGAAGAAGGUUUUCGGAUCGUAAAACUCUGUUGUUAGAGAAGAACAAGGAUGAGAGUAAAAUGUUCAUCCCUUGACGGUAUCUAACCAGAAAGCCACGGCUAACUACGUGCCAGCAGCCGCGGUAAUACGUAGGUGGCAAGCGUUGUCCGGAUUUAUUGGGCGUAAAGCGAGCGCAGGCGGUUUCUUAAGUCUGAUGUGAAAGCCCCCGGCUCAACCGGGGAGGGUCAUUGGAAACUGGGAGACUUGAGUGCAGAAGAGGAGAGUGGAAUUCCAUGUGUAGCGGUGAAAUGCGUAGAUAUAUGGAGGAACACCAGUGGCGAAGGCGGCUCUCUGGUCUGUAACUGACGCUGAGGCUCGAAAGCGUGGGGAGCGAACAGGAUUAGAUACCCUGGUAGUCCACGCCGUAAACGAUGAGUGCUAAGUGUUGGAGGGUUUCCGCCCUUCAGUGCUGCAGCAAACGCAUUAAGCACUCCGCCUGGGGAGUACGACCGCAAGGUUGAAACUCAAAGGAAUUGACGGGGGCCCGCACAAGCGGUGGAGCAUGUGGUUUAAUUCGAAGCAACGCGAAGAACCUUACCAGGUCUUGACAUCCUUUGACCACUCUAGAGAUAGAGCUUCCCCUUCGGGGGCAAAGUGACAGGUGGUGCAUGGUUGUCGUCAGCUCGUGUCGUGAGAUGUUGGGUUAAGUCCCGCAACGAGCGCAACCCUUAUUGUUAGUUGCCAUCAUUUAGUUGGGCACUCUAGCGAGACUGCCGGUGACAAACCGGAGGAAGGUGGGGAUGACGUCAAAUCAUCAUGCCCCUUAUGACCUGGGCUACACACGUGCUACAAUGGGAAGUACAACGAGUUGCGAAGUCGCGAGGCUAAGCUAAUCUCUUAAAGCUUCUCUCAGUUCGGAUUGUAGGCUGCAACUCGCCUACAUGAAGCCGGAAUCGCUAGUAAUCGCGGAUCAGCACGCCGCGGUGAAUACGUUCCCGGGCCUUGUACACACCGCCCGUCACACCACGAGAGUUUGUAACACCCGAAGUCGGUGAGGUAACCUUUUUGAAGCC
rnacentral:rRNA from 1 species